rnacentral:rRNA from 1 species
UACGUAGGGGGCAAGCGUUGUCCGGAAUUAUUGGGCGUAAAGAGCUCGUAGGCGGUCUGUCGCGUCUGCUGUGAAAACUCGGGGCUUAACCCCGGGCCUGCAGUGGGUACGGGCAGACUAGAGUGCGGUAGGGGAGACUGGAAUUCCUGGUGUAGCGGUGAAAUGCGCAGAUAUCAGGAGGAACACCGAUGGCGAAGGCAGGUCUCUGGGCCACUACUGACGCUGAGAAGCGAAAGCAUGGGGAGCGAACAGG